rnacentral:miRNA from 1 species
UGAAAUUGUUGCGAGUGUCUU